CAGUCGCCGCGGUAAUACGUAGGUGGCAAGCGUUGUCCGGAAUUAUUGGGCGUAAAGCGCGCGCAGGUGGUUUAAUAAGUCUGAUGUGAAAGCCCACGGCUCAACCGUGGAGGGUCAUUGGAAACUGUUAAACUUGAGUGCAGGAGAGAAAAGUGGAAUUCCUAGUGUAGCGGUGAAAUGCGUAGAGAUUAGGAGGAACACCAGUGGCGAAGGCGGCUUUUUGGCCUGUAACUGACACUGAGGCGCGAAAGCGUGGGGAGCAAACAGGAUUAGAUACCCGUGUAGUCCCUGUCUCUUAUAC
rnacentral:rRNA from 1 species